rnacentral:rRNA from 1 species
UUGGGGAGUACGGUAGCGAGUCUGAAACUCAAAGGAAUUGACGGGGGCCCGCACAAGCGGUGGAGCAUGUGGUUUAAUUUGAAGCAACGAGAAGAACCUUACCAGGUCUUGACAUCCUCUGACAAUCCUAGAGAUAGGACGUCCCCUUCGGGGGCAGAGUGACAGGUGGUGCAUGGUUGUCGUCAGCUCGUGUCGUGAGAUGUUGGGUUAAGUCCCGCAACGAGCGCAACCCUUGAUCUUAGUUGCCAGCAUUCAGUUGGGCACUCUAAGGUGACUGCCGGUGACAAACCGGAGGAAGGUGGGGAUGACGUCAAAUCAUCAUGCCCCUUAUGACCUGGGCUACACACGUGCUACAAUGGACAGAACAAAGGGCAGCGAAACCGCGAGGUUAAGCCAAUCCCACAAAUCUGUUCUCAGUUCGGAUCGCAGUCUGCAACUUGACUGCGUGAAGCUGGAAUCGCUAGUAAUCGCGGAUCAGCAUGCCGCGGUGAAUACGUUCCCGGGCCUUGUACACACCGCCCGUCACACCACGAGAGUUUGUAACACCCGAAGUCGGUGAGGUAACCUUUUAGGAGCCAGCCGCCGAAGGUGACAUGGAGUUG